GUCUCAGCCUCCUGAGUAGCUGAGAUUAUAGGUGCCCGCCACCACAUCCGGCUAAUUUUUUGUAUUUUUAGUAGAGAUGGGGUUUCACCAUGUUGGCCAGGCUGGUCUCGAACUCCUGACCUCAGGUGGUCCAUUCGCCUCAGCCUCCCAAAGUUCUGGGAUUACAGGUGUGAGCCACCGCACCCGGCCAUCCUUUCUUAGGCUUUUGCAGUUCUCCCAUUUCACCCUGGCUCCCGGAAGCGGAAACGGGAGAUAUCAACGCAAGGCAACCAGGUCAGAUCCAGAGCUCCCCACAACAGACCACAGCCAGGAAAAGCAAAGGGCCCUGCAGUGCCCUGGUGGACUAUGGGGAGGGUGAGUAUCCUGCAGAGGAGCAGGCAGCAUUAGGAAGUUGUGAAGGAGGGUAAACCCCCAACUUCCUCACUACCUGACAAAGACUCCUCUACAACAAAAGGGAGGCCAAAUGCAGGCAAACAGAAAUGAGACAAAGAGAAGAGGGGAAGUGCUGGCAGCGCAGUGUUCUAGUUCCAUUCCUGAGGUCCUGCUCUCUGUAGGUGCCCCUUCUGGUCUGUGAGCUCCCCUGUGCCUCUCCCAAGCGCUGUACAGAAGCCCCCCUUUUCCUUCAGCCAGUUUGGUUUCUGCUGGGUUUCUGGUUUCAGAGCUUUACGCUGGUAACCAUUAGGCUAUGCUGCAACAUGGCAGCUAUGGGAGCUCUUAAAGCCCCAAACCACUGGACCUUACAAAUCUCACUUCUGGGAGUCAUGUUAAGAAAAUAAUGAGUCAGGCAAAGAUUUUAUCACAAUAAUAUGAACAAAAAUUUAAAAAAUUGAAGGCCAGGAGUGGUGGCUCAUGUCUGUGAUC
rnacentral:lncRNA from 1 species